rnacentral:lncRNA from 1 species
CCUAUUUGGCCGGUUUCGGGCACGCCGACAGACCGCCGAACGGACAGGGUUUCCCCGGUACCGCGGACAGAGUCUCCCCUGUACAUUCAAGGCGUCGCAAUCAAUACAAUGUACAAAGUUCCAACCAGGAACACAUUUCAAUCAAAGAUUGCAUAAGGAAGUAUCAAAAACAUAAUCUACUUGUUAUUACAAGCAUUCACAUUCAUACAUUUUACAUCCCAAAUACUUAUUACAUUCAACUUCCAAAUACAAUCCGAUUUAACAUGAUUAUUACAACUUGAUUCUUUUCAUUUUCUACAACCCUAAGCAAAGCCGACUCAGGGUACCGCUAUCUCUGGUCUCGGUGGUAGGGCGCUAACUAUGAUGCUACGCCCUCGCCUCGCGCCGCCGCGCCGCUCACGUGUGAACCUGUAACACCCCAAAACCACGUGGGGUGAGAACCAACUCCAUGGUUCCCAGUGGGUACGGCCACCCAAGGGAAAAGCUCGACCAAUAGGUCCAAGGGAGGCAACUGCAAGUUAGUUCAAUAAACAGAUAGAUAUAUAUCUUGAUUAUGCAACGAAUAAAACCAUGCAUUGCCUCACGAAUGCAAUAUGAAGAUCAUGCAAUGAUGCGACUAUACAAUCAACUAGUAAUUCAAUCGAUUACUACUUUCAUCCAAUUGACAUUUAAGGUUUUCUGUCAUUUACCAUUUUAAUCAUAAAGUUUCAUCUAUCUUUACAAAGCUAACCGCCCGACUCGGUCUUGAGUCAAUCGUCUGCGGAGUACCGCACAAAGCCAGGCCCGAGGCGAAGGACGUCUCACUUGCACCUCGGCCUUAAAUCCCCUCAACUAGGACAUCACUAUAGCUCAUAAGUUUAUUACCCAAUCACUUGGCUAACCCGAAGGUUUCGCCCUCAACAAACUCACCAACCCAAAAUCCCAUUAACCGGGGAGAUACCCGCUACAACCCGGUGGGACCGUCCUCUGGGGAGAUACCCGCUACAACCCAGUGAUGUCGACUCCGGAGCACAUCGCCCGAGGGGGAGCUACCACAACCUCGAGCAAGGACUAAAGGUGAGUAUGAUCAAUGAUCAAAUCCAAAAUCUUGAGGAUGUCAAGUUCAAUCCAUUCCUUAACUUUAGGAAGACUAUGCUCAAAUGACCCUAACUCUAGGGUUGAAAUGUCAUAAUAUUUCCAUCAUUCUUUUCUUUGCAUUCUUUACUAUCACUUGUGUCAUAUACACUACUAUAUUCUUGGACUCAUGCCACACUUGUUUUCUAAGUGUUCAACAUACCAUAAGUGUUUCCACUAUACUAAUCAUAUGCCACUCGAUCUAAUAUAUAUAGAUUGUCCACGUCACAUAUCAUAGUUCAUAUGUCAUUGUUUUUCAAUGUCGAGUUCUCUAAUUCACCUAGAGUUUAUCGACCCAAGUUCAACAUGCAUGUGUCAUUUAACAUAAUCCACAAUAUGUCAAUAUACAUUCAUCUAGUAUAUUCUACAAUAAAUCAACAUGCACUCAUUCAUCAUAUUCCACAAUAUGUCUACAUAUAUAUGCCAACCAUUCAUAUGCCAUCCAACAUGUUCCAUAAUUUAUCAACAUGCAUAUUACCUCUAACAUAUUACUAUAACAUUAUUUUCAUGCAUUCAUGUAACAAUUAACUCAUGCAUUCAUUUAGCAUUAUUUAACUUGCAUCUUAUCAUUACGCAUUUCUACUUGGCAUUUACAUUAACAUGCAUCAUUUUCAUACUUCAUUUACAUCUAUAUGCAUCAACAUGGAUUCUUAAUUUGCUUAGACAUAAAGGCGACCUAGUCGCUUCGGUAAGCACAACCCACCUUAACUCGCGUUCCGAUUGCUUGUAGUCACUUGCAAUCGGCCUCCCGCAGCACCCGGCACCCGGUUUGGCCCGAUCUCUCGCGCGACCACCCGAACGGCCUCUAAUCCACGAUCCGAAAAUUAAGGGUCUUCGGUUAUGUGCCACGAUACUUCAAAUCUAUUUCCACGAUUUUACGACGUCGCCUCGGCCCUCCCGGCGGACCCGAAGCCUAAACGUCCAUUUCUUUAAUAACUUUGUAACGGCUCGUCGGAUUGCCGAACCGUCUUCGCCAACGCGUUCGUUUACCUAGCAAUUUGGUUUACGGAGCGUCAAAUGAGAUCAAACCCAUAUAUUUUACAAAACCCCAUUCGGAGCCCUAACAUGCAAUUAACCUCUACAUAGUCCAAAUUAAAUAGAGAGAGCAUGUUUAGAAUGCUCAUUAGAGGCUAUUAGAACACUUAGAACUAAGGAUUAAGCCAAAUUCUAAAAGCUUACCUCAAUGUGAACGCCGCGACGAAAACACGCCGCUCCAACGGGCGCACGAAAGCUCAAUCCGUCGCCUUCAACGCGUUCGCAAGCAUUUUCUCCACCAACCCCGCGAAUUUGAGCGAGAGAUAUAGAGAGAUGAGAGAGAAAUCUAGAGAGAGAAAGGGAGUCUCCCUACCAUGUAUGCGGGUUGGUGGUGGCGUGUAUGGUGGUCGGCUGAAGGAGAAGAAGCAAAAGCUUCUUUAUACAUUACACCCCAAAACACUAUUCACUCCAGGACAGUUUAGCAGUUCGGAGCAGUUGGAGCCCUUUUGGAUGUCCGUUUGGGCUCAAAUUUGACAGGCAGGCUCGGUUUAACGUACUGAGUAAGAAUAUAUCUUAAGUUUUCAGUUUCGAUCUCGUUUGGUCACUGAAAACUAUACCGAACUGUAAUCUUUAUCAGAUAGCCGUCGGAUUUUAUUUCUCACUCUACGGGUGUCAGAAAAAUAUGAAACUUCAAAUCUAGCCUCAUAAAAAUAUUUCUGACUUAUUCUCCAAUUUUCAUAAUUUUCUGAGACUGUGCAUUUUCUGCUAAUUUAUCUGUCCCGUUUCCAACAGAAAAUUCUAAAUCUUCUGUUUUCAUUCCGAUUUCAGCACAAGUCACUUCUGACUUAUGUUUUACUUCUACAAAUCCAAUAAAAAUAGUUUCUCACACUAUUUUUAUUUAUUUUUAUUUUUACACCAAAAUCUGGUAUGUUACAUUCUCCACCUCUUAAAAGAAUUUCGUCCGCGAAAUUCAAACCAUGCCUCAAUUCAGCUCCACGAGCAAUUGAGGGUACUAACUCAUUCUCCCACUCCAGAGCGGCUUCACACUAUUGUGGUUCCAGAAGCGGCUCAUACUGAAGGACGUGGGUUUAAUCCUAAACACAUUUGCAAAAUGUGAUAUAAAAGUGCAUCGCGAGUCUUGCAAGUCAUAAAGGCAGUGCAAAUCGAUACUCGAUGACUCUACGCGCUCCAACACCACUCACCAUUCGGUAUACAAAGAACUCUUCUUUGCACUUACCUUCCCUUCAGGGAAUAUAUUCUAAUUCGAUCACCGACAUUGCUUAGAAGCAAUAUCACCGAUGCAUCGCUCCGUCGUGAGUGCUCUAAUUUCGCACUGACCCUUAACUUUAACGUGAGAUGGCCCACUUCGGCACAUCUCAAGUCUCAGUUCGCUUACGAGCAUAGUUUCCAACAUCACGUGGCUUUCCACUAGAUUGAUGUCUCACAAGGAGUACUUCAUCAUCUGAUACCACAUGCCACGGUCAAUCAUCGAACUAUUUCCGCAACGAGCUCACACGAGCGCUUCGUUCGUGAAUUCGAGUCAAACCCCUCGAUAAGGCUAUCCGCCAAAUCGCCCUCUUCGGUCUCCACAGGUGGACCAAAGGCCACCAAUCCUACGUGGGCCUACCGCCUAAACCUGUCUCAAUACGCAACGUCUCUCGCUCGCAAACGCAGACCCAAUCAUGAUCGGGCGAAACUCUCACUUGGGAAUUCGCACACACUCCAACCAGGAGCAACUAAGAUCCCAAACCGUUACAAAUUCCCUGGUUGGGUCACACUCGUACUCUCGGUGUACUAUCAAUCGCACGACACGCUCUACCGAGCCACACGUACUACUACCGGCUACUAUGCAUCUAAUGCGAGUCACCUGUCCCACGAGUGAUCCAUGGCAUGCUUCACACCUAGCAAUGCUCAAGUGCUACUGCCAACUCACUCACCCGACUGAACCAUAUCCGCACUCCACGAGUAUCUAUACUUGAACGUCAUACGCCUCCAUAGCGUUGCACACUAAGUCCAGUGUUAGGCAAUCCUGCCUAUGCAUACCGGCCGCACGAGUACAACCGCCUACCUCACCUUGAGGUACUACUAGGCCCACGUGCUCAAACUUGGCCACUAAUCGACCGUUCUCUCAACAGUGAUGCUACUUUCACUGUUUGAUCUACCGGAAUGACAUCCAAAAUUUUCGGACCACUCGGGUGUUAUCAAAUACCACGGCUCAACUCUCGUAAUCUACUAAUUAAGUUGCUCUGAGAGUCGAUUAGCCACCUCUGUCUCUAUCGCGAGUUUCACUACUCGCCAAAGGUCACUACUAGCACUUCGCUAGUGCCAUCUGGCUCUAUACCUAUACUAGCAGGUACUACGCCCUCACAACACGAGCAUGCCCGGGUAUCGAUACUUACCCGUCCACUCGGUCUCUACUAUGGUCAUGCACGACAAUAGUAAUUAACCACAUAAUCAUUGCAUACAAUGCAUGGACUUCACGUCAUGCGAAACAUAUGCUUGCAUCAAUAACCCAUACCUGCAACGAAGUCGGCAACAGCAAGGUCCUCAACCUGGGUCGCAUAUCUAUGACCACCCGGCGCUUGCCGCGAACCCUAAGGUGACAUUGUCUUUAAUGCCCCCUCUUCCGACCGGGCCGCAGGUGCCACACCUGUAGGCCGUCCCAGAGAGAAAUAGGUUGUCGCCAGUGUUAGGCCCCGGCUGUCACCUUGCAGACACUCGUCCCGCGCACAGCCCGGUUGCCCACACCUGUAGCACUUGCCCUCUCACAGCUCGCAAUACUGUGGGUAACGAAAACACCCACAAACGACACAUCUCACUAAGGACCGAACACAGUAGGUCCCCGGAACACGGAAUCACGAGCGCGAACUUAUUGCACUCACUUGAGAACUUGACGGACCAUCGAAUCCACUCGUUGGCCGUUCUAUUUCCCUUUUCCUUGCAAUUGGACUCACGCUCCCCUCGCACAAUUGCACUGCCUUGUUCUAUCCCCAAGGCCUAAUCCUCAAAGCUCCUCUAAUCCUUCUCUUUAGAAAAACUCAUGUGGAGUGAGAGAAGAAGGAACAUGGAGUUGAAGGGGUACCUCCUUGCUGUGAACAAGGAAAGAAGAGGUGUGGGGUUUAUACAAGCCGCCACAACUGCACUUAAACCCCCCAACGUUUCUUGUUUGCAGCAGAUCUCAACCUGCUGUCAGACCCAUUGUGUACCGAUACACGGGCUUUUGUACCGGUACAAAGCUGUGCAGAGGCAAACCCGAGAGCAACCUCCUCGGAUUUUACCAAAGGGUACCGGUACAAAUCAGGGGUGUACCGGUACACUUCUGCGAAAACUCAAACCCGAGAGCAAUGCUCUUCUCGGGCCACUUGCUGUACCGGUACAACCAUCAACAUGUACCGGUACACUUUCCUCCAGAACGUAGUUUUAGCUUGUUUUCGACUCCAACUAGCACCGAUAGAUGCUAAAACCAUUCUAACUCUUUUAGAGCCCAAUUCUUAUCCUUCCAACAUCGUCGGAAUGUCAAUUGGACUUUAUCCAACUAUUGCUCUCAACGCACUUUGGUCAAUUUUACUAAAGUUUGAUGUUUAUUUACCGAAAUUUCAGUACGUUACAUUCUCCCCUCCUAAAAGGAGUUUCGUUCUCAUUAUCCCGCUCUAUGUCCGGGAUGCAAUUCACGACACGGGAGAAUUCCUACUCGUAUUCCCUCACGGCGCGGUCUACCUGCCGCAGCUUCGAGAACCUUUCCUGAAGCUUUCUUUUCCAUCAUCAGGGGAGUAAACAGAGAAUACCGAUCCCCGAAACUCGUCCCAAACCACAGGAGGGAGACCAGGCAGUCGAUCCCACUCAACGCCUGUCCACCACACCUUCGUCGCGACUCCCGGCUGUACUUAACGAGCCGGAACUGGUGUGAUCACUACUAAUCCCCCAACUCUUGGAGUCUCUUAACUCGCUCCUCCCGGCAUAUGGCAGCCUUCUGCUGACACUGCACUAAUUCGGCUCAUUACCCCGCCACACACACGAGAGUGGCAAAUCGCUCGCAAAGUCUCAAGUCUCCGCUCGUCUCAAAUUGCCCAGGGACACCACUUGGCCCAACCCGCGCCGAUCUAAACAAAGAUCGCCUACGCAGUGCUGUCGUUUCCUAAAACGCGACAACUCUAUUAAUCCUCGACCUUCUAGGUCGAACACGAGACACUUAUUACCGACUCAAAUCGAGCGAAAGUCACGCAAGGGCGUCUAUUCUCAUCACACGGUUUCAUGUUGUGCGCGCCCAACACGAACACCAUCGGUUGAGAAUAAACCACACUUUAAAUCUACCUCUAAUAUCCGUUUCAGAGGUUUACGACACAACGCAAUCAAUUAACCUUUCGCCAAAAGUCACAAGUCUUCGUCUCUCACGAACCUUAAUCUCCUAUGGUUUACUAUCCUAGGGUCUUCUAGGUCCAACUAAACCAUUUUCUAUUAUUCUUUUUAUGUUCUUUUUAUGCUCUGAUACCAUCUUAUUUGUCACGCCCCGAGCCCGCCUAUUUGGCCGGUUUCGGGCACGCCGACAGACCGCCGAACGGACAGGGUUUCCCCGGUACCGCGGACAGAGUCUCCCCUGUACAUUCAAGGCGUCGCAAUCAAUACAAUGUACAAAGUUCCAACCAGGAACACAUUUCAAUCAAGGAUUGCAUAAGAAAGUAUCAAAAACAUAAUCUACUUGCUAUUACAAGCAUUCACAUUCACUAGAUACAUUUUACAUCACAAUUACUUAUUACAUUUAACUUUCAAAUACAAUCUAGCUUUUAUUACGAAUUAUUACAACUUGAUUCUUUUCAUUUUCUUACAUCCCUAAGUAAAGGCCGACUCAGGGUACCGCUAUCUCUGGUCUCAGUGGUAGGGCGCUAACUAUGAAGAUACGCCCUCGCCUCGCGCCGCCGCGCCGCUCACGUGUGAACUUGUAAUACCCCAAAACCACGUGGGGUGAGAACCAACUCCAUGGUUCCCAGUGGG